rnacentral:misc_RNA from 1 species
ACCAGUUCAACAAAAGAACACUGCAAGUUUUUCGCUAGCAUAACAUGAUUCCAUUGCAGACAGUGUGCUACUUUCAAACUGAUGGCAUCCCAGAAGCAAAUUCCUCAAAGAACCUUGAUUCAUAUCAUAAUUAAUUUUCCGACAAGGUAGCACAUAUAACAAUAUCAUCAGCUCUCUAAUCAAGUCAAGAACUCUUCCAACAUGUUCUGUGUGUGGUGUUGUCAGCUACUAUUACCGGUCAAGAAGAUGGCAGUUGGGUUA